rnacentral:snRNA from 1 species
GUGCUUAUUUUGGCAGCACAUAUACUAAAAUUGGAAUGAUACAGAAAAUAUUAGCAUGGC